GACGAACGCUGGCGGCGUGCUUAACACAUGCAAGUCGAACGGAAAGGCCCUUCGGGGUCCUCGAGUGGCGAACGGGUGAGUAACACGUGGGUGAUCUGCCCUGCACUUUGGGAUAAGCCUGGGAAACUGGGUCUAAUACAGAAUAGGACCACGCGCUUCAUGGUGUGUGGUGGAAAGAUUGUGCGGUGUGGGAUGGGCCCGCUGCCUAUCAGCUUGUUGGUGGGGUAAUGGCCUACCAAGGCGACGACGGGUAGCCGGCCUGAGAGGGUGACCGGCCACACUGGGACUGAGAUACGGACCAGACUCCUACGGGCGGCAGCAGUGGGGAAUCUUGCACAGUGGGCGCAAGCCUGAUGCAGCGACGCCGCGUGAGGGAUGACGGCCUUCGGGUUGUAAACCUCUUUCACCAGGGACGAAGCGUAAGUGACGGUACCUGGAGAAGAAGCACCGGCCAACUACGUG
rnacentral:rRNA from 1 species